AGCUAGUUGGUGAGGCAAAGGCUUACCAAGGCGACGAUCUGUAGCGGGUCUGAGAGGAUGAUCCGCCACACUGGAACUGAGACACGGUCCAGACUCCUACGGGAGGCAGCAGUGGGGAAUUUUGGACAAUGGGGGCAACCCUGAUCCAGCCAUGCCGCGUGAGUGAAGAAGGCCUUCGGGUUGUAAAGCUCUUUCGGCCGGGAAGAAAUCGCAUGGGCCAAUACCCUGUGUGGAUGACGGUACCGGAAUAAGAAGCACGGGCUAACUACGUGCCAGCAGCCGCGGUAAUACGUAGGGUGCGAGCGUUAAUCGGAAUUACUGGGCGUAAAGCGUGCGCAGGCGGUUUUGUAAGACAGGCGUGAAAUCCCCGGGCUUAACCUGGGAACUGCGUUUGUGACUGCAAGGCUAGAGUACGGCAGAGGGGGGUGGAAUUCCACGUGUAGCAGUGAAAUGCGUAGAGAUGUGGAGGAACACCAAUGGCGAAGGCAGCCCCCUGGGUCGAUACUGACGCUCAUGCACGAAAGCGUGGGUAGCAAACAGGAUUAGAUACCCUGGUAGUCCACGCCCUAAACUAUGUCAACUAGGUGUUGGGUGGGUAAAACCAUUUAGUACCGUAGCUAACGCGUGAAGUUGACCGCCUGGGGAGUACGGCCGCAAGGUUAAAACUCAAAGGAAUUGACGGGGACCCGCACAAGCGGUGGAUGAUGUGGAUUAAUUCGAUGCAACGCGAAAAACCUUACCUACCCUUGACAUGCCAGGAACUUGCCAGAGAUGGCUUGGUGCCCGAAAGGGAGCCUGGACACAGGUGCUGCAUGGCUGUCGUCAGCUCGUGUCGUGAGAUGUUGGGUUAAGUCCCGCAACGAGCGCAACCCUUGUCGUUAAUUGCCAUCAUUUAGUUGGGCACUUUAACGAGACUGCCGGUGACAAACCGGAGGAAGGUGGGGAUGACGUCAAGUCCUCAUGGCCCUUAUGGGUAGGGCUUCACACGUCAUACAAUGGUCGGUACAAAGGGUUGCCAAGCCGCGAGGCGGAGCCAAUCCCAGAAAGCCGAUCAUAGUCCGGAUUGCAGGCUGCAACUCGCCUGCAUGAAGUCGGAAUCGCUAGUAAUCGUGGAUCAGCAUGUCACGGUGAAUACGUUCCCGGGUCUUGUACACACCGCCCGUCACACCAUGGGAGCGGGUUCCGCCAGAAGUAGGUAGCCUAACCGCAAGGGGGGCGCUUACCACGGCGGGGUUCGUGACUGGGGUGAAGUCGGAACAAGGUAGCCGUAGGGGAACCUGCGGCUG
rnacentral:rRNA from 1 species